CCUACGGGAGGCAGCAGUGGGGAAUAUUGCACAAUGGGGGAAACCCUGAUGCAGCGACGCCGCGUGAGUGAAGAAGUAUCUCGGUACGUAAAGCUCUAUCAGCAGGGAGGAAAAUGACGGUACCUGACUAAGCAGCCCCGGCUAACUACGUGCCAGCAGCCGCGGUAAUACGUCGGGGGCAAGCGUUAUCCGGAUUUACUGGGUGUAAAGGGAGCGUAGGCGGCAGGACAAGUCUGGAGUGAAAUCCCGGGGCUUAACCCCGGAACUGCGUUGGAAACUGUGCGGCUGGAGUGCAGGAGGGGUAAGCGGAAUGCCUGGUGUAGCGGUGAAAUGCGUAGAUAUUAGGAGGAACACCGGUGGCGAAGGCGGCUUACUGGACUGUAACUGACGUUGAGGCUCGAAAGCGUGGGGAGCAAACAGGAUUAGAUACCCUGGUAGUC
rnacentral:rRNA from 1 species